rnacentral:rRNA from 1 species
UGAACGCUGGCGGUAGGCCUAACACAUGCGAGUCGAACGGCAGCACAGUAAGAGCUUGCUCUUACGGGUGGCGAGUGGCGGACGGGUGAGGAAUACAUCGGAAUCUACUUUUUCGUGGGGGAUAACGUAGGGAAACUUACGCUAAUACCGCAUACGACCUACGGGUGAAAGCAGGGGAUCUUCGGACCUUGCGCGAUUGAAUGAGCCGAUGUCGGAUUAGCUAGUUGGCGGGGUAAAGGCCCACCAAGGCGACGAUCCGUAGCUGGUCUGAGAGGAUGAUCAGCCACACUGGAACUGAGACACGGUCCAGACUCCUACGGGAGGCAGCAGUGGGGAAUAUUGGACAAUGGGCGCAAGCCUGAUCCAGCCAUACCGCGUGGGUGAAGAAGGCCUUCGGGUUGUAAAGCCCUUUUGUUGGGAAAGAAAAGCAGCAGGUUAAUACCCCGCCGUUCUGACGGUACCCAAAGAAUAAGCACCGGCUAACUUCGUG